rnacentral:rRNA from 1 species
UACGGAAGGUCCGCGCGUUAUCCGGAUUUAUUGGGUUUAAAGGGAGCGUAGGCCGGAGAUUAAGCGUGUUGUGAAAUGUAGUGGCUCAACCUCUGCACUGCAGCGCGAACUGGUCUUCUUGAGUACGCACAACGUGGGCGGAAUUCGUGGUGUAGCGGUGAAAUGCUUAGAUAUCACGAAGAACUCCGAUUGCGAAGGCAGCUCACGGGAGCGCAACUGACGCUGAAGCUCGAAAGUGCGGGUAUCGAACAGG